CAGAUUGUUGCUUUGUUAAAAAAAACUGUUUACACAUUUUUGUCUUCAACAGUUGUUUUAUAUUUUGUUGGCCAAAUUUGUAUUGUUAUUGAACUCUGGUCAGGGGGCCGAUCAAAAUCAUUUCAAGGCCACAAAUGGCCCGCCAGCCACACUUUGGACAUCCCUGGUCUAUGGGCAAUACAAAACAUAUUCAUUAAAUUUUUUAGCACAAAUUCAUUCUUAGAUAACGAGAAUUUGUCUAAAAUACUCGUGUUGAGCGCCAUUCAGAAUGAGCUUUUUUAGGGCUUCUGUCACUUUGAAUCCAAAUAAAUGGUUUAUUUAGCCACGCCCACUAAACUCAACGUUUACACUCACACGUAGAAAUGGCUGAAAACAGAUGCACAAUUAUACAACAUCUUUAAACUUCAUGCAAACGUAUUUUAUGAAUGGUAAACCAAUAGAAAAACACUUUUGCAGUGUGUACAGCGAUAAAGCCAUAGAUGUAUAUUACUGGAUUGGACAUUGCCUGUUAGCCGCUGAAGCUAAUGAGGUGAACGUUCAGGCACCAUUAAUACACAUUGAGUCAUGUCCAAAAAACCAUAUUGUUUCAAUUGCAGGACGAGUAUAAACCUGUCAUAAAAAUAACUGUAUCUGUCGCCCCUGUUUCUUAUCUAAUUUCUAUAAAAUAUGGCUUAAAUUAAAUCUGAGAAGGUUGCUGAUGUAUAAUAUGUACUGUCCCUGGAUAAAGAUCUGGAAACACUUUGGUUUUUGUCAAGAUCCAAGAACAUAUUAAGCAAAUUUCUCUUUUGUAAUGGUCAAUAAUGUAGUUUUACAUUAUUACUGCUGGAUGAGAUGUAGUUUGUUAGAUUUGAACAAACUACGGCUCCUAUGGUUUAUGAACUAUUUUAUCCUGUUUUAUUAUUAUGAAUGUCAUCACAUUCUACGAACAAACGAGGACAUAAGUCCAGUUUUUGUUGUUUAUUGAGCUUUUAGAAAUCACAGUGGCUCCUGGUAAAAUCAGUGCUGCAGUUCCGUUGGCGUUGCUAGGUAACGGGGCUGGGCUGGAGUUGCUAGCUAACGGCCCAGUUUUCUUUUAUUGUGACUUAUAAAUCUGUAAGUUAUUGAAUGGCCUCAUUUUCCAGACACCAGAAAGCAUUAACUUAUUGC